UACGGAGGGGGCUAGCGUUGUUCGGAAUUACUGGGCGUAAAGCGCACGUAGGCGGUCUUGUAAGUUAGAGGUGAAAGCCCGGGGCUCAACUCCGGAAUUGCCUUUAAGACUGCAUCGCUAGAAUUGUGGAGAGGUAAGUGGAAUUCCGAGUGUAGAGGUGAAAUUCGUAGAUAUUCGCAAGAACACCAGUGGCGAAGGCGGCUCACUGGUCCGGUACUG
rnacentral:rRNA from 1 species